rnacentral:lncRNA from 1 species
CCUCCUGAUUGCAUGACCCAGCUCAGAGCAACCAGCUCCCUGACCACAGGCCUGCUCCUCAGCCUCCUGUUGUUAUUGGUCCUCGUACUACUUGGUGCCAGCUACUGGUACCGUGCCCGCCUGCAUCAGCGGCUCUGCCAGCUCAAGGGAUCCAGCUGCCAAUAUAGGGCAGCCCAAUCCGGUCCUCCUGAGCGACCAGGACCUCCACAGAGGGCACAGCAGAUGCCAGGCACUAAGGCUGAGCUGGCUGACCGAUCCAAUCCCCCCACUCGCCCUCUGCCCGCUGACCCUGUGGUGUGGCGCCCAAAGCCUCAGGGGCCUACCAAACCCCCACCCCCAAGAAAGCCACUGCCCGCCAACCCACAGGGCCGGCCCCCGCUGGGUGACCUGCCUGGCCCAGGAGAUGGAAGCUUGCAGCUGGUAGUGCCUUCCAGGCCUGCCCCACCACCCCCAGCAGCAUCUUCGCUCUACCUCUGACCCCUCGAGAUUCGGCUGUCUCCUGCUCAGUUCUAGGACUUAAAGUGGAACCUCUGUCUGAAUCUCCCACAAAACACUAGAGAAGCAGAAGCUUAGACAAUAUGGCAUCCAGCCCUAAAGAACCACCAGGCGCUGUUCAGUAGUACCUGGGACCCACUGAAUUACCUGCAGCUGAGUGUUGGGAAGGGGCUGGGGCUGGAGUAGGUGGUGGAAGGACGGGAAUGUGGUCUGUCUCUGCUCUGUUGUAAUAAAUGUGAGGUCUUGGAA